rnacentral:misc_RNA from 1 species
GUGCAUGUUCUUCCUAUUUGCUUCAAUUAUGUCACGAAUUUUUUGUUCUGGUUUCUGUGUAUGCAACUAAUAGUUUUGUUUUGUUUGCUGGCUUCAGGUCUCAAGCCCCUGGUUCCUACCAUUUGCUUAUGUGAUAUCUGCUAAGUACAUUUAUAGCCUAGUUGAAUUCCUGUGGUCUGGUGGCACAAUCCUGGGCUGGUGGAAUACCCAACGAAUAUGGCUAUAUAAAAGAACAACCUCCUAUCUCUUUGCCUUCAUUGAUACCAUUUUAAAGAAGUUAGGAUUUACUGAUUCAACAUUCAUAAUCACCGCCAAAGUUGCUGAUGAAGAAGUAUUUCAACGGUACGAGAAAGAGAUAAUGGAGUUUGGAACUUCCUCUCCAAUGUUCACCAUUUUAGCUACAGUUGCAAUGCUGAAUGUGUUCUGCUUCAUUGGAGCGGUGAAGAGAGGGAUCAUGGUUGACAGUAUUUUUAGUAUCUUUGAGGCAAUGGCUUUGCAAAUUCUUCUUUGUGGUGUUCUGGUUCUUAUCAACUGGCCUUUGUAU